rnacentral:snRNA from 1 species
UGGUGAUACCACGGUCACCAAGGUGGUUUCCCUGGGGUGAGGCUCACCCACUAUACCCCGCAUGUGCUGACCCCUGUGAGGUGGAAACUCAA